rnacentral:rRNA from 1 species
GACGAACGCUGGCGGCGUGCUUAACACAUGCAAGUCGAACGGAAAGGCCCUGCUUUUGUGGGGUGCUCGAGUGGCGAACGGGUGAGUAACACGUGAGUAACCUGCCCUUGACUUUGGGAUAACUUCAGGAAACUGGGGCUAAUACCGGAUAGGAGCUCCUGCUGCAUGGUGGGGGUUGGAAAGUUUCGGCGGUUGGGGAUGGACUCGCGGCUUAUCAGCUUGUUGGUGGGGUAGUGGCUUACCAAGGCUUUGACGGGUAGCCGGCCUGAGAGGGUGAUCGGCCACAUUGGGACUGAGAUACGGCCCAGACUCCUACGGGAGGCAGCAGUGGGGAAUAUUGCACAAUGGGCGGAAGCCUGAUGCAGCAACGCCGCGUGCGGGAUGACGGCCUUCGGGUUGUAAACCGCUUUCGCCUGUGAUGAAGCGUGAGUGACGGUAAUGGGUAAAGAAGCACCGGCUAACUACGUG